rnacentral:lncRNA from 1 species
CACAAUACAUUUGUCUCUCCACUCUUGCUCUUAAUCUUUUGUCAUCUCUAAGUAAUGAAAAAUAGUUUUUGAGAGUACAACGUUGUAAGCAUCCUCUUGUGAGAGUUAUUCAGAAAAUCCAUAAACUUGUUCUUUUGUAACCUAGCUUAAUAGUGGUUGCAUCUCUCAACAUCUUUACUAUAUUAAGCUAGAAGGUUGAGAAAACUUGAACAUAAUUAGUUUGACUAAUAUGUGUUCAGUGAAAGUGUAACCUACUUGGUAAAUUAGUGAAUUAAAUCCUUUAGGUUGAAGGGACUGGACGUAUCAACCGUGUUGAUGGUGAAAAAGAAUAAAUUAGUUGUGUCAUUAUGUUUUUUUUUGUUUAUUUGCUUUGUUUUCAUCAUUUUAUUUUAGCCUUGUUAAAAUUAUUUUAAAAUAAAAUACCAUUCAACCCCACCCCCCAUUUCUUGUAGUUCUCGUUCUAUAAUUGGCAUCAAACUCGAAAAGUGGAGCACUUAAACGUGUUUGAGUAAAUAUAUUUGUUAUUAUGACUAACUUUGUUGAUGAAGUUAUAGGUGGAAAUGUUAUCAGGUCUCAUUUGUUUGAUCGAGAAAGAUAGGCUUUUGAGUUUCUACAUAUUUUAUCAUCCUAAACUCUAGGACAUAGUUGAAGAAGGUUAUAAGGCUCUAAAAGCCGUUGCUGGUGUGGAAAUAUCUUGAAAAUAUCUCAUUGUUGAUGAAAAGAAACAAUAGUAGAUGCAUCAUAAGGCCAUAACUUUAAUGAUGAAUGUUAUCACGUUCAAAGAGUUCGAAAAAUGUAACAACAAAGAAACAGAAAAUGAUAUCUUUAAUGCUCUAGUUCUCAACAACCAAAGAAAUAAGAAUGUACAAAAAGCUUAGGAAAAUUUACUUGUCAAGAAGUAUGAACUUUCCAAAUGGAAGAAGAUGAAGACAUUGAGAUAUAUGAGAUCUUGUCCCCAAGUCUAAAGAAAAGAAAUCAAUUGGAACCAAGUGGGUUUUCAAAAAAAAAAAUAAAUAAGAAAGGUGAAGUGGUCAAAAUCAAAACUAGGGACUUAACACAAAGAUACCAGGAAGAAGGUGUCAUUUUUCGUUCUACUAAUUGCAAGUUGUAAUAUCCUAAAAUUAAAA